GCGCAUGCUCAGUGUCAGUCGGAGAGGAAGCGGAGCGGCCAUGGCGACUGAGAAAUACCUGCCCGAGCUAAUGGCCGAGAAGGACAGCCUGGACCCGUCCUUUGUCCACGCCAGCCGGCUGCUGGCUGCAGAAAUGGAAAAGGUUCAGAAGGGAGAGAAGAAAGAGGAGGAAAAGAGAUUCCUUGAUGUCCUGACGCAGAAGAACAUCAAGCUUUCUGAGCGAUGUCUGAUACCGAUUGCACAAUUCCCAAAGUUCAACUUUGUAGGGAAACUGCUUGGACCUAGAGGAAAUUCAUUAAAGAGGCUACAGGAAGAAACUGGCACAAAAAUGUCCAUCCUUGGGAAAGGCUCGAUGAGAGAUAAGUCCAAGGAAGAUGAGCUCCGUAAAGGAGGAGAAGCUAAAUACGCACACUUGAACAGUGAUCUGCAUGUUCUUGUUGAAGUCUUCGCACCCCCAACCGAGGCCUAUUCACGAAUGUACCAUGCCAUGGAGGAGCUUAAAAAAUUCCUUAUUCCUGACUACAAUGAUGAAAUAAGGCAGGAGCAAUUAACUGAGCUGGCUUACUUGAAUGGUGGGCAAGAAGCAUCUCGUGGGAGAGGUGUACGUGGUCGUGGAGCUCCACCUGUACCACUUGCAAGGGGUCGUGGUGCUGCGCCACCACCACCUUCCCCUCAGUAUGGACCACGAGGUGCAAUGACACGUGGAGCAGCUGUGAGAGGAGCACCUGGAGGACGCAGGGAAGUGGCAAGUGGACGUGGUGCCACCCCAGCGCAAAGGGGUGCCCCAGCACCUCGUGCUCGGGGCGCACCUGCAGCCUACAGACAGGCACUGCACCCUCCGCCUGCUCAGGAGAGCUAUGAUGAAUAUGGCUAUGAUGAUGGAUACGCAGAACAAAAUUAUGACAGUUACGAAAACUAUUAUGACCAAUCCCAGGGUGACGCUGAAUAUUUCGAUUAUGGACAUGGAGAAGUGCAAGAAACCUAUGAGGAUUAUGGGCAAGAGGAUUGGAAUGCAGGACGAGCAAGCCUGAAGGCACCAGCAAGGCCACUCAAGGGAAUGUACAGAGACCAUCCCUAUGGGAGAUACUAAGUCUGGCCUCUGACCAUGUGUGCAUCCUUAUAAAUUGCUUCAAUCUUCUGUGGUCACCAUCUUGUUAUCAACUGUGAGACAAGCACAGGGUAGUAACCCCUGCUGAAGUCUGCAUCCUUGGAGAACUGGGAAGUCUGGCUGGGUAUGUAUGUACAUGUGCACGCUGCUAUUUUGUAAAUGUCUCCAGGUUUCCUCUAUGAUCAUUGCAUGGUGCCUUGUUGAACGACGGGUCUGGAUGAAGAAAACCACUGAACUGAUCCAAGCUACUCGCUGAGAAAGGGGUAUUUCUUCAUGAAGUGUCUGAUGAAAUAAGGGUUAGCUGUUCACAACUGUAUUGGAUGAGAGUGAUGUAGUGGCUCCAAGAUCUAAUGAGGUGGAAUCUGAUGCCUUUGCAGGUAGCCACUGAUAAACAUUUGCUGGUUAUUUACCUUUGGAUCAAGGAGUUAUUUGAAUUUUGUUACCUCAAAGAUUGAUCAAAAUGUGUUUUGUACUGACACUCUUGUAAAUGAUCUGUCCAACAUUGAUAUUGGAUUAGGAAACACAACCCUUCUUGUGGUGUAAGACAUGCAGUCUGGCUCUGUCAUGAACCCCUAUUCAAAUGGAAUGUCACUGUUCAAUCUGAGUAGCCUCACUUGCAGACUUACACUGUUCUCUCCUUUAUUAGUCCUGUUUUUAUGUCUGCGGUUACUCUAAUUCUGCAAUUAAGUUUUAUUUAUUAGAAACCUUUUCCAUAGCACAAAGGCAAUAACUAACUGAGGUGCUCAAAACUUAUUGAAAUGAGAAAUGUUGCAGUGGAGCUCCAGGCAUUGCAGUUACAAAUGGAGGCAACAAACAAACGAAACUUUCCCAUUCCUCUACGUUGUCUUCAAAAACUACAAACAAACUCCUUAUCUUUGUGUUUAUUGAAAUGGCAGCAAACGGAGUCAUGGGAUGCGAGGGUGGGUGCCCUGAAAAGAUUUGAGUUUGCAAUCAGUUGAAACUAGCAACUUAAAUGAUACUGCAAAGUGGGAAUUUAUCAUUUACAAGAAGAACCAUCAGAUUAUCUGAGUUGGGUACAAUGUAGUAAUCCAGUUACUGGGUUUGUUACUGAAUUUGCAAUUUUGAAUUAAAGUUCAAAUCCUACAGUCUCAAAUCAUAAGAUUGAAUUCAAUAAAUCUCAAUUUAAGGACGGGCUUCAGAAAAUGAUCAUUGAAUCUUCUUGAUUGUUGUGAAACCCAAAUGAUUCACUGCCAGACCUAUGUGUGACUUCAGUUCAUGCUAUAAGAUUUACCUUGGAGAGCAUGUGAUGGGCAAUACAUACUGCCUUGCCAGUAUUAAGGGUAUCGGUAAAGACAAGUGCCAAUAAGGAAUGAUAAAUAAAUAUUUCCAAAUCUAAAUUAGAUAAUUUUAUUUGAUGUUGCAGCAAGAGGUGUAAAGUACUAGGAACAAGGUGCUACUGAAGCAGCACUGUGCCCCUUCAGGAGGUUCCUGGAGAUUAUAGUUGCGUCUGCAUGUGCAGGAACUCUGAUAUUCUGAUAAAUUGAGUACUGUUUAAAGAACGGGAGGUUUAGCAAUCGGCCCAAUAUCUGGUGAAUUGUAAUACUUUUAUGUGUGCUUCACUUACUGAUGGAUCCAUUUCACCACAGGACAGUGAAGUAAGAACUACCUUUAUUAUAAAGCACAUGCAUUUUUAAAAAUUCUGACCUGUUCUAUUUGGUUAAAAAUUCUGCAGAAAGCUAUAUUACACUGCAAAGAUUGCAGACUGCUCCUGGGAGUGAAAUGUUGCUGCAUUUGGUGAGAAUGAUUAAUCUGUCCCCUCCUGCAAGUGGGAGAUAAGGACACUCCUGUGAGCUCAGACCUUUUGUUGAAGCCAGUAUAAAAAGCAGAAUAGCUGAAACAGCUAUUGCAUCUGGAUCAUGUUGGGCGCUUUGUGCUGCUGGAUUUGCAUUGUUUAAAGGUAUUGUCUCCAGUGUGCAGUAAAAGUCAGUCUAACAUCAUGAGACCCCAACAGGUUGUUAUGAACUAGAUGAAAUUUCUUGGAUUGCUGUUUCCAACAAAAUAAACAUAAAACAGAAUAUGCUGCCUUUUUCUAAUGUCUGGCAAUGAUGGAUAUUCUUAUGCAGAACUGGCCAGGAAUUUCAGAUCUAGGAUCAGGAGAUUCUUCUCAGUCAGAUUGGAAUUGUGUAUAAUUAGAAUGCAAUGGCAAACUGUAAAAUCUCUCACCAUGUAACUCUACCUUUUAUGCAGAAUAUUUCGGAGUAGGUGAUGCCAUUUUCUGAAACUAAAGGAACCAUCUGGUUGGUACAAAACAUCUUCCACAGUGCUGCCUCUUAUUUUAUGGUGGAUGAGAUUGAGGAAUAUUUGUGUAAUUCUGUUAUGAAUUUGCCAACCCUGUUGCCCUCCCUGCCUCCUGGAACAGUUAUUUCCAUAUAUUCUGCACCCAUCAUCCUCUAAUCGUUGAUGCUUCUGUGCACACACUGGUGCCCCCUUGUAAAAUCUAAAACCUAAUUUCUGUGGUUCCAUAUAUCUAGACCCCUUUGAAUCCUGAUCUCUUGAGUUCUUUUCUAUCCCACAGCAAAUUGACCAUUUCCAUAGCUCCUCUUUGUAAUAUGGAUCCCUACUUCAGGGCAUGAUUUAGUUUCUUGGUCACCCCCAACACUUUGUUCAUUUCCCAUGGCACUUUGCUAUGCAAACGUGGAUGUAACACCCUCCCUUUUACCACUUCAACAUCCAAGGCACCAAUCUUUCCAGGUGAAGCAGCGAUUUACAUGUCCUUUCCAAUUUAGUAUACUGUAUUCGCAGCUUACAAUGUGCUGUCUACAUUGGGGAGACCAAACGCCAGUUGGGUGACUGCUUUAUAGAACACCUCUGUUCUACCCACAAGCACGAUCCUGAGCUACCAGUGGCCUGUCAUUUUAAUUUUCCACCUUGCUGUCAUUGACAUCUCCAUCUUUGGUCUGCUGCAUUGCUUUAGUGAAGCUCAAUGUGCACUUGAGGAACAGCACCUCAAUUUCGAUAAGACACCUUUGAGCCUCCAGAUUCAGCAUUGAGUAAAGCAAUUUUGGACUGUAAACUCUAUCUCCCAAUUUUGUUUCCUUUGGAUGUUUAGGUUUUUAUCCUGUUUUUGCUUUCAGACAGUAACACAAUUCUCUAGGCACAUCUUCUUUUGUUUCUUGCCCCAUCUUAAUUCUCUUUGACCCUAUAUGACAAACUGUUUAGUCAUUCAGUUUCUCCUGUCUUUCCACCCUAUCACAGACCUUCCUUUUGUCCUCGUCUCGUCCAUACCUUGUUCAAAAUCUAUUACAUCUCUAACUUUUCCCAUUUCUGAUGAAAAGUCAUCAACCCAAAACGUUAACUCUGUUUCUCUCUCCACAGAUGCUGCAUGGCCUGCUGAGUAUUUCCAGCAUUUUCUGUUUUUUUUUAAGGUUUCUAGAUUUGCAGUAUUUUGCUCUUUGUUUUGCCUACCGCAGUGGCAGGAUGACAAGCAUCGUUUUCUUUAUUCUUUCAUGGGAUGUGAUCAUGAAAGGCCAGCAUUUGUUGCUCAUCCUAAACUGCUCUUUGAGGGCAGUUAAGAGUUAACCACAUGGCUGCGGGUCUGGAGUCACAUGUAGGCCAGGCAAAGUUUCCUUUCCUAGGGAAAAGGACAUUAGUAAACUAGUUAGGUUGUUAUAACAAUCGAUAAUGAUUUCAUGAUCAUUGUUUCUGAAACAAGCUUUCAUUCUAGAUUUUUUUUGAUUAAUUGAAUUUAAAAUCCGCUAGCUGCCAUAGUGGGAUUUUAACCAAUAUCCCAAAGCAUUACCUGGAUCUCUGGGUUACUAGUCCAGUGACAUUACCAAUAUGCCCCUGUUUUCCCUCCAUUCUCUUGAUCAUCAGCAAAGUGAUGCAAUGCAAGGUAAUUGGCCGGAUUGGAUUUGUCCUGCUUUUUGUGGAUAGGACAUACCUGGGCAAUUUUCCACAUAGCCGGAUUAGAUGAUGUAUCUGUACUGGAACAGUACCAAAAUUUUACUCUAGCAGAAAUGGGAUCAUGUCAAUGUUUUAUGCAUGCUCUAGAAUAUUCCUGGUGUUUGUAUUCUAUUCCCCUAGCUGUGCACCCUACAAUCUAUGUUGCAAGAAGUGAAAAUACUGAAUGUUAUCCUUGAUCAGUCAUGGAAGAUGAAACUGGCCAUUCAUGCAUCCUUUAAAGAAAAUUAUUAAAUUAGCCUUUUUGUUUACUGGUAUAUGCAAUGGACAUGUCAAGUCUCGGUCUUAAGGGAUCAGUGUUUGUGUCUUUGUGGCCUGCUGGUGGCCUUCUCCCCCGCUCCUCUCCCUCUGUGUGUGUCUCUCUUUAUUUCUCUUGCGCCAUCUGAAUGGUGCAUCCUCUUGAGCACCUUUCUGGCUGAGGUGUGAGACACCUGAGUGUCCCAGGCUUUGGGGUCUGUUCCUGAUUACGUUGUCUACAUGGUGAUACUGACACCAGUGCAAGGGUGGGGUGGUAGAUCACAACUGAAGAACUUGAGCAGUGUCAUGUAUGAAAACGCCUAAUUUGAUUGUGGUAAUUGUGAUCUAUAUUUGAGAUUAGUGUUGUAUGUUGCUCUGAAAGCUGAUCAUUUAAAACGAGGUUAAAUGAAAACUAAAAGAUGACUUUUGUAGAGCAUCUAGUUCCUUUCCUGCAUUAGAAAUCUCAGCAUGCAGUUAAAAUUAGCUUAAGUUAAAGCUUCUGAAAUUUUAAUGUGCAGUUCCAUAGUGUCUGACCCACAGUUUCUGUCCAGAUUUGAAAAAUUCAUUUGCACUAAAUGCCAUAAUGUAAAUAGACUUCAGAUAUUUGCCAGGUGUAUUUGGCAGCAUCAUCUACUUGUUGGUGCCAGCUGUUUACAUAGCCUCUUGCAGUAAUUGUCCCUUUUUUGAUUACAGUAUUGUUUCAGGCCUUAAAAUGGCUUUAGUAAAUUGACGUCCAGUAAACUUGGACUCUGUCAUUUCUUCAAAGGUACCAGGCUGAGCAGCCCACCUAUGAACCACAAGCUAAAAGUGAAAUUGUGGGAGUUCUUAAUCCAAGGCUUAACUAAUUAAAGCAAUGGCACAGGUUCCAUGUCAAACCCUCCUUGUAUGAAUAAACACUUGGAAAAUGAAGAAUCAAGCACCCAUAAUCUUUGGGGAAAAUCUCCAUAUCUGUUUUGAGGAACAUGGGUGAAUAUUCGCGAAAAUGUAACUUGUGAAGGAAGACUGUGUGGAUUCAGGAGGCUGUUGUGUUAUGUCUAAGCAGCUGAAAUUUUUGGAAGUAUCACUAAGAUGAUGGAUAGUGUUCAUAACGCUCAAUGUUAAAAUUAUUGUGUCAAUAUUAUUACGAAUGUACCUUGUACUGCAAGUGCUUUUGUUUAUCAAGCACACUUCCUUUUGAUUGGUUAGCUGUUGGUUAAGCAAUGCUGAUUGCUUGAAAUAUUACUGAGGAAAUAGAAGCUAUCCAAAAAAGCACAACAACGAAGAUGCAAUGAAAUCACCUGGAUUUCCUCAUACUCUCCUUGACUGCUACUCUACUUCAUUAAGGUCUGUGUAACAAAAGUUGCACAGUUCUGAAAACAAUCACUAAUCCGGUCCAAAAAAUCAUUUCAUUUCAGAAAUCCCUGUAAGCUAUAUAGCCUGCGCAGUUUUGCCUGGGACUGGGGGUUUGAGUGGCAUUCAAAAGCUCAUCAUUCUUCAGCAUUGGAAAUUUCCACGUGUUGUGGACAAAUUCCACGUGAUACACAAAGUACCACAUGGGAAAUUACUGGAGAAGAUUUAAGAUGUGAAAUUAGGAGGACGAUAAUAGGUGGUUAGAUAUUGAUUCGAAUGGGGAUAAAGAAACAGGAGAUUAGUUAUGUUUGGGGAUGGUUAGUGAUCCCCACAGGUUUCAGUUCUGGGGCCACUUCUGUUCAUGGUCCAUCGAUGAUUUGGAUAUAGGCCUAGAAGGAGUGUGUGAACUUUGUAGAAGAUACCAAGAUAGAUACUUUUGUAGACCAAAGUAAACUUCCAAAGAGAUGUGGAAUGAGUUUAAUAUUGGUAGGUGCAAUGCACUCCAUAGGCGUGAGGUGGUAUGUUUUGGUUUGUUCUAGUACUGCAGUUGCAGCAGUGGGAGAAUCAUAUUUCAUGUAUAGCAAUUCCAUUGGAGUUUAAAUAUACCACAUAGGAUAUUAGUUAAAGAAAAGGAAACUGAAAACUUUCAGCUGGGAGGAGGCCAACUACAGGGCACCCCAUGGAAUGGAUAAAGGGAGACUUGCUCUUAAUUACCUGUGAUGCACUAGUUAGGCUCUCAACUUGAGUACUUAUCAUUACAGAAAGGAUUUAAUUGCACUAGAUAGGGUACAGAAGAGAUUUACGAGGGCUAGAAAGUUGCAGCAAAGAGGAAAGAUUAGAUAGACUGGUGUUGUUCUCCUUUGAACAGAGGAGGCUGAGGGGAGAUUUGAUGUGAGAUGUGCAAGGUUAUGAGGGGCCUGGAUAGAGUGGAUGGGAAGGACCUAUUUCCCUUAGAGGUCAGUGACAAGGGGGCAAAGAUUUAAAAUGAUUGGUAGAAGGACUAGAGGGGAGAUGAGACCCUUUUUCACCGUGAGGGUGGUGGGAAUCUCAAACUCACUGCCUGAAAGGCUGGUAGAGGGAGAAACCCUCAUUCAAAAGGUGUCAGGAUAUGCAUGGAAGUCCUGUAACUUCCAUGGCUAUGGGCGAAAUGCUGGAAAAUGGAAUUAAGCUGGGUGGUUCCUUUUUUGGCUGGCGCAGGCAUGGUGGGUAGAGUGGCUUUCCUGCAUUUUCUAAAUAUCUGAAAAGGAGGGAAGUGGGGAGAGGGUGGGCAGUGGCAGUCCAUGAAUUGUUCCUUAGGGGAACCAGCAUGGAUACGAUGGGCUGAAUGCCUCCUGUGCUGUAAUCAUUCUAUGAAUACAUUGAGUCUUACACCCUGUAACACAUCUUUUCCAGCUAUAAUGGUAGAAAAUUAAUAUCUCUAACUGAAAUUUUGUAUCAUCCAAAUAAGAAAAUCAAAAACAUAUAAAAUACAUAUUUUGCAAUAACCAAAUGAAAUCUCUCCAAUGAAUUGUUUUGAAUUUUUGUUGAAAAUUUUACUUGAAAGCCUCAGCUUCUCAGGAAAGCCUGGGCUUGUCCUUGAUACGUGCAUACAGAACUGUGACUCUUAGCUGAUAGCAGAUGCUGCAUUUGAGCAUGUGUGGUGUGCACAAAGCCCCAGAAUGCUUAAGGAGCACUGCUUUGGCCUCCCUACUGGCACAUUUCUCCAACUUCAAACAAUAUUAUUUUAUACAAUGUAAUACGUAAUGUGUAAUACAUUGUAUGAUAAAUUUUUACCUUGAAUGAAAGAGCUAAUUUAACUAAAGUUUAUACUUAAAAUUGACAUGGCUGACUUCUGAUUUGUUAUAGCUUUUAAUUAUAUUCAAGUUAUAAUCCUUAUUUGUCAGUAGAAAGUUCAUACGGUUUGUCCUUUUGAAACAUUUGGAAGAUAACUGGGUUUUAAAUAAAGCUACUUUUACUUUG